AGGUGUGGGAUUGAAGGUUUGCAAAUUAGGGUUGGAGAUUGGAGGAGGGGUAUAGGAAGGAGCGGUGGGAGGGGCAGGAUCGGGAUUCAGAGAAUACGGAGGGUAAGAUUGGGAAUAAAGCGAGUAAUCGGAGGUGGUAAAAGGUGGUGCAGAGGCGUAGGGGUUCUGGUGGGGAUCGGUGGGGUUAGGAAUAGGGUUAGGGUUAGGGUUUUGAAGCGGAGGGUAUUGGUAAUAUGGAGCGGAGGUGUAAUCUCCGUGUUGCAUCGCUGAUUGAGGACGAUAGACUGUUUCAGAGAG
rnacentral:lncRNA from 1 species